GGCAAUCAAAUAAGUUCAACUUCCAGUAUUACUCUGCUGUUCGUGCAGAAGAAAAUGUUGGAAAGUUGCUGAGCUGUCAGAAAUCAUCACUAUGCUUGGACACGUCGGACAGGAUCACUUGGCAGGACUGCUCCUGUCCAUACUUGGUCAGUCUUAAGCUGGGCAGUGAUUCCCUCAGCUGUACAACUAUUACAAGGUACUGGAUUUUGCCGUUAAGCCAGAAAUCAGGAUCAUUACUGGAAGUGAUUCAAUGACUUCUACAGCUCUCAUGUUUUCAGGCAUUGUCUGUGUCUCGAAGGAUGGAGAUGAAAAAUGAAGAUCUGGGCUCCACUUUUACAGAGGUCAAGAGCGAUCUGGAGUGCAAAACAAGCAGUAUUUCGGAAUUGUGGGUGUAUAUACUUACUGAGAGUCAACAGGUUUCGUGUUUGGAGGGCAGAUAUCAUUUCAGUAUACGUUUCCAGGAGCUGAUGAAAAUGAUGGAAGAAAUGGAAAAGGCCAUUAUAAAGGAAAAAAAUGGAAUAUUGGAAGAAAGUAAACAAAUCAUAGAACAUGACAAACUCAUGAAGGGCAUGCAGAAAAAAAUAUACCAAUUCUUAAGAGUGGAAAGCCUUAAACAAGUUGAGAGCAGCCAACAAGGUGAGAAGGUGGAUGACUGCUCUAGCUUGUCCACUCAGAAAAUACCCAUGGUGAAACAGACCCAGAAAUCAAUGAGUGGCUACCCAAAAAAAGUUUAUUCCUGUACUAGGAACUGUCUGUGGCUCUUUGGCAGGUCCUUAAAACUAUCCAUCCGCUGUUCCAUUGGAGUGCUCUUGUAUUAUAAGUGUUUACCUGAUUUGGUCUGGCUAUGUCAUCAAAUGAAUAGCAUCUUCCAGCAGUACCUAACUUGUGAACAUCCUUUCUAAUGAUAGAAGAUAAAUUCUGGACUG
rnacentral:lncRNA from 7 species